rnacentral:rRNA from 1 species
UACGGAGGGUGCAAGCGUUGUCCGGAUUUAUUGGGUUUAAAGGGUGCGUAGGCGGCCCGUUAAGUCAGUGGUGAAAGCCUCCAGCUCAACUGGAGAACUGCCAUUGAUACUGACGGGCUUGAGUACAGACGAGGUAGGCGGAAUUGAUUGUGUAGCGGUGAAAUGCAUAGAUACAAUCAAGAACUCCGAUUGCGUAGGCAGCUUACUAGGCUGUAACUGACGCUGAGGCACGAAAGCGUGGGGAGCGAGCAGG